rnacentral:rRNA from 1 species
GUAGUUGACUCCGUGCACGAGGACGACGCUGGCGGCGUGCUUAACACAUGCAAGUCGAACGGAAAGGCCCUGCUUGCAGGGUACUCGAGUGGCGAACGGGUGAGUAACACGUGGGUGAUCUGCCCUGCACUUCGGGAUAAGCCUGGGAAACUGGGUCUAAUACCGGAUAGGAGCCAUUUUUAGUGUGAUGGUUGGAAAGUUUUUUCGGUGUAGGAUGAGCUCGCGGCCUAUCAGCUUGUUGGUGGGGUAAUGGCCUACCAAGGCGGCGACGGGUAGCCGGCCUGAGAGGGUGGACGGCCACAUUGGGACUGAGAUACGGCCCAGACUCCUACGGGAGGCAGCAGUGGGGAAUAUUGCACAAUGGGCGCGAGCCUGAUGCAGCGACGCCGCGUGGGGGAUGACGGCCUUCGGGUUGUAAACUCCUUUCGCUAGGGACGAAGCUUUUUGUGACGGUACCUAGAUAAGAAGCACCGGCUAACUACGUG